rnacentral:piRNA from 1 species
UGAUUGGUGUCUUUCGCA